GAUGAACGCUGGCGGCGUGCUUAACACAUGCAAGUCGAACGGUGAAGGCGGAGCUUGCUCUGCUGGAUCAGUGGCGAACGGGUGAGUAACACGUGAGCAAUCUGCCCCUGACUCUGGGAUAAGCGCUGGAAACGGCGUCUAAUACUGGAUACGAGCUGCGAAGGCAUCUUCAGCAGCUGGAAAGAAUUUCGGUCAGGGAUGAGCUCGCGGCCUAUCAGCUUGUUGGUGAGGUAAUGGCUCACCAAGGCGUCGACGGGUAGCCGGCCUGAGGGGGUGACCGGCCCCACUGGGACUGGGACCCGGCCCAGACCCCUCCGGGGGGGAGCGGGGGGGAAUUUUGCACAAGGGGGGAAAGCCUGAUGCAGCAACCCCGGGGGGGGGACGACGGCCUUGGGGUUGGAAACCCCUUUUAGCGGGGAAGAAGCGAAAGGGGCGGUACCUGCAAAAAAAGCCCCGGCUACCUACGU
rnacentral:rRNA from 1 species